rnacentral:rRNA from 1 species
GACGAACGCUGGCGGCGUGCUUAACACAUGCAAGUCGAACGGUGAAGCGCCUUCCUUCUUGGUGGGUGUGGAUGAGUGGCGAACGGGUGAGUAACACGUGAGUAACCUGCCCCCUUCUUCUGGAUAACCGCAUGAAAGUGUGGCUAAUACGGGAUAUUCUGGGUCUGUCGCAUGAUGGGUCUGGGAAAGAUAUUGUUUCGGUGGGGGAUGGGCUCGCGGCCUAUCAGCUUGUUGGUGGGGUGAUGGCCUACCAAGGCGGUGACGGGUAGCCGGCCUGAGAGGGUGGACGGUCACACUGGGACUGAGACACGGCCCAGACUCCUACGGGAGGCAGCAGUGGGGAAUAUUGCACAAUGGGCGCAAGCCUGAUGCAGCGACGCCGCGUGAGGGAUGGAGGCCUUCGGGUUGUGAACCUCUUUCGCCAGUGAAGCAGGCCUGCCUCGUUUGUGGGUGGGUUGACGGUAGCUGGAGAAGAAGCGCCGGCUAACUACGUG